GUGCUUUGGAAGGAUUGCGUUUGGACAAGAAACAGUAAAAACUAUUUUACAAGUAAUAGAAGCAUAGUUAUUCUUUUGUUAAUUGCGAUACCAGUCUCUGCACCAAUGCCGACUUUUCUUCCUCUUACUUUACUAGUUUGCUUCAGUUCUGAAUUCAUGUUUGCUCAUUUUCGCUCUUGUUGCAAUGCUAGCUGAACAACUGCAACUGUGAAAAAACACAUAAGCAGAUUCAAUUCAAUUCAAUUUUGUUUAUAUAGCGCCAAAUCACAACAAAGUUAUCUCAAGGCACUUUACAAAGUAAGGUUUAAGACCUUACACAACUAAACCCAACAAAUCCCACAUACAGCAAGCAUUUAAUUUGACAGCAACAGUAGAGAAAAAAAACCUCCAGAAACCUCCAGCAGAACCAGGCUGGAUGUGGGCGGCCAUCUGCUUCGACCGGUUGGGGUGAGGGGAUAGAGAGAGAGAAAAGCACAGCAAAAAUAACAAACAACAACAGAGCACAGGCAGGACGGUUGGACCAGGGACUGGAUACAGGCAGGAUGGUUGGAUCCGCAGCUGCCCAUCACAGACACCAAACUUUGAGUCCAAUGAUACUUGUAGGUGAGGACAGAGUGGAGGAGAGAGAAAGAGAGAGAGAAAGAGAGAGAGAGAGACCGGGAGAGAAGCACAACUACUGGAGAGAAAGAGACAUAGUUAGUUGAACAUAGAACAAUGAUGAGAGGUUAUUGGACAGAAGAGGUAGAAGGAAACAGAGGAGCUCAGUGUAUAAAGUAAGUCCCCCAGCAGUCUAUGUCAAUUGCAGCUUAACUAAGAGAUGGUUCCUGUGACUAACAAUCAUUGCCAGUGACCUGACUCAUCUCUAAGUAUAAGCUUUAUCAAAAAGGAAGGUUUUAAGCCUGAUGUUAAAAGUGGAGUGUUUUAGCUUCUCAAACCUGAAGAGGGAGCUUGUUCCAGAGAAGAGGAGCUUGGUAGCUAGAAGCUCUGCCUCCCGUUUUACAUUUAAAGACUCUAGGAACCACAAGUAGCCCAGCGCUCUCAGAACGAAGCGUUCUGCUGGGAGCAUAAGGAACUAUGAGAUCUUUAAGAUAAGCUUUAUCAUUGAGUACUUUGUAGGUGAGUAGGAGAAUUUUAAAUUCUAUCCUACAUUUUACAGGCAGCCAGUGCAGAGAAGCUAAUGUAGGAGUCCUAUCAGAACUCAAGCAUCCUUUCCUUUCAUUAAACGUCCUGCUAAUUUUCACUGUUAUCUAAGUGUUUUCUCUGCUAGCAUAGCUCCUAGCUUACUUUCCUGCUAUGGCUUCCCCCUUUUCCUCUCCCUCUUGCUCUGUUCAGUGCUCGGUGUGUCUUAUGUUUAGCUUAUCCUCUGCCUCCUUUAGUGAUGGUAAUGGUAUCUGUAAUAGGUGUACGCUAGUUGCAGGGUUGGAGGCGGGGUUGUUAUACUUAGAGUCUGGGCUUCGCACCUUAGAAAACAGGCCAGCUAGCCAGGUCCCUUCAGCCGGUGCAGAGCCUACUAGCUUAGCUGGUACCAGCCCCCCAGCCAGCCCCAGGCAGCUGGGUAACGUCUGAGUCACGGCUCGUAAGAAACGUAGCUUUAGGCAGGCGCCCACGGUGUCUAAGGAUAAGCGUAAGUUCGCUAAGAUCGUAAUACACACAGGAGCUAAUGACGCCCGGUUACGCCAAUCGGAAGUCACUAAAACUAAUAUUGAGUCGGGUUGUUCAUUCGCCAAAACAAUGUCAGACUCUUUAGUUUUCUCUGGACCCCUCCCCAAUGUGACCAGCGAUGACAUGUAUAGCCGGCUGUCAUUGCUCCACCGCUGGUUGUCUAGGUGGUGUCCUGCAAACGAUGUGGGCUUUGUGGCUAAUUGAAGCACUUUUUGGGGAAAACCUGGGCUGAUUAGAAGAGAGGGCAUCCUACGUUGAACGGAGCCUCUCUGCUUUCUAGUAAAAUGGCCAUGUUGCUUAGUCUCCCUACUCUGUGACAACUCAGAGUGGAGCCCAGAACGCAAAGUCGCAGUCUUACACGCCUCUCUGCACGUUCUCUACAGCCGCCACCCACUCUUAGUCUUAGUUAUCGCAUAGAGACUGUGUCUGCUCCCUGACCACUUAAACUAUACAAGUCACAAACAAAUCAGAGGAGUGACUUACCAGAAUUUAAUAAACAUCAAAACAGUUCCUCUUACAGAACAAAGUAACAGUAAGUUAAUAAAGUGUGGUUUAUUAAAUAUCAGAUCUCUCUCAUCUAAAUCCGUGUUAAUAAAUGACUUGAUAAGUGACCAUCACAUAGAUCUGUUCUCUCUCACUGAAACCUGGCUGCAGCAGGAUGAAUAUGUUACUUUAAAUGAGUCGGCUCCAAUGAGUCACAUAACCUAUCAUGUUCCUAGAAUUACAGGUAAAGGUGGAGGAGUAGCAGCAAUUUAUAAUUCAGAUUUAUUAAUUACUCCUAAACCUAAACAUAGUUCUAACACAUUUGAGAGCCUCACUCUGAGCCUUUCUCACCCAGACUCGUAAAACUCAGAAGCCAGUUGUGUUUUGUAUUGUUUACCGUCCUCCUGCUCCAUAUUCAGAGUUCUUAACUGAAUUCUCUGAAUUCUUAUCUGACUUAGUUCUUAGCACAGAUAAAGUCAUUGUAGUGGGAGACUUUAACAUUCAUGUAGAUGUUGACAGCAACUGUCUCAGCACUGCUUUUAACUCCUUAAUAGACACUAUUGGUUUUACACAGCAGGUAAAUGAACCCACUCAUCGUUUUAACCAUACCCUAGAUCUUGUCCUGACAUAUGGGGUUGAAAUUGAUAAUUUAAUAGUUCUUCCCCAAAACCCUCUGUUAUCUGACCAUUUCUUAUUAACUUUUGAAUUUAGCACAACUGACCCUAUAACAGCUGGAAAGAAAUGUUACUAUAGCAGAUGUUUAUCUGACAACGCUGUUGCCAGAUUCAAGCAGAUGAUUCCAUCAUCUUUUGCCUCAAUGUCUUGUAGAUACACAGAGGACAAGUAACCUUAAUCCUUAUGAACAGGUUGACUGUCUUGUAAAUGAUGCUGCAACUUCUAUACGUACAAUGUUAGACACAGUGGCUCCUCUGAAGAAGAAGGCAGUGAAUCAGAGGAGGUUAGCUCCGUGGUAUAACUCAGAGAUCCACAGCCUAAAGCACAGGACCAGACAACUAGAAAGACAGUGGCGUUCCAAUAAAAUAAAUGUAAACUGCAUUGCAUGAAAGGACAGUCUAAUAAUAUUUAAAAAAAACACUUCAUGCUUCUAGAAAAACAUAUUCCUCCUUAAUUGAUGAAAACAAAAACAACCCCAGGUUUCUUUUCAGCGCUGUAGCCAGGCUGACUAAGAGUCAUAGCUUUGUUAAGUCUAUUAUCCCCUUAAAUCUCAGCAGCAAUGACUUUAUGAACUACUUUACUAAUAAAAUUAUCAUCAUUAGAGAAGACAUUCAGCAGCGACUUCUUCCAAAUGACAGAAAGCACUGUCUAGAUCCAUCAACUUUAAAUUUACCAAAUCCUCUGUCUUACCUAGACAGUUUCUUCCCCAUAACUCAUAUGGAGUUAACCUCAAUAAUCAACUCUUCCAAGUCAUCCACUUGUCUUUUAGAUCCAAUCCCAACCAGUUUACUCAAAUAAGUUCUACCUUUAAUCAGCUUGUCCACAUUAAGUCAAAUCAACCAAUCUUAACAUUUAGGCAGACUUUUAAGGUAGCUGUGAUCAAACCUGUAUUAAAAAAGCCAACCCUGGACCCUGGAGAACUAGCCAACUAUAGGCCCAUUUCAAAUUUACCGUUUAUUUUCAAGAUUCUUGAAAAAAUCCUGGCUAAACAAUUAUCUGACCACCUGAGUGGGAAUAACCUGUACGAAGAUUUUCAGUCAGGAUUUAGAAAACAUCAUAGCACAGAAACAGCUUGGUUUAGAGUCACUAGUGAUCUCUUGUUAGCUUCAGACAAUGGUCUAGUUUCUGUCCUUGUCCUGUUAGAUCUUAGUGCUGCAUUUGAUGCAAUUGAUCAUAACAUUCUAUUACAGACACUAGAACAUAGAAUCAGGAUUAAAGGAACAGCAUUGGGAUGGUUUAUAUCCUAUUUGUUGAACAGAUUCCAGUUUGUUCAUGUUAAUGAGAAAUUCUCCACAUGCACAAGGAUUAGCUAUGGAGUACCACAGGGUUCUGUGCUUGGUCCAAUUCUCUUUAGCCUAUACAUGUCUCCUCUAGGUGAGAUUAUUAGAAAGCAUUCUAUUAAUUUUCAUAGCAGAUGAUACUCCAAAACCAAACCAAAUAAAACAGAUCAACUAGUGAAAAUUCAGGGUUGUUUAAAAGACAUCAAAUCCUGGAUGUCCCAAAACGUCCUUCAACUAAAUUCAGAUAAAACUGAAAUUCUUAUUGUUGGGCCUAAAAAUCUGAGAGAGACACUAUUGAGUCAGAUAGCCACCCAGGAUGGCAUAACAUUAGCUUCAGAUUCUACUGUAAGAAAGCUUGAUGUCAUCUUUGAGGUCACAUUAAGACACUCCUGGUGUGUUAGAAGUGCGCCCCCUACUUAUUUCACAUUUUUUUAGAGUUUAUCCAAUCCGGUUCAAGAACCAUCGUUUCAAAUUUGGCGGCCUCGAUACGUCUGCAUUUGCGCUGACCAAUCACAGAACCAGCUUCGUCCCCCCACCCCCAGACAAACCUGGAUCCGUAAAUGUACCUGAAACAUUUUGUUUCAGUCACUUCAGUCACAGGCAAAAGAAGAAGUCACUCACUGCGCAGUCUACCAUAGGAGGUGGCGCUAAUGCACCUUUAGUUGGUUGCCACCCGCCAUUUAAAAGACAAAAAUAAGAAGUCACUCAGGUUGAAGAAGCGUCCACUUGCUGCUUCCCCAAAUGCUGACGCAUGCCAGCUACCGAAACGCAAGGAGGUUGCUUCUCAAACUGACACGCGGCUACCUUGUAGAAGAGUAGAAGAGUGCUCACCUCAGGAGCAAAGAGUGGUGUCAAGGAAAACAGCUGCAUCCUCCAUCUGUACAGCAGCUGCACUGCUUCCGAUGUCUUCCAACACGUGAAGACAAAAAACAUCCUCACAUCUCCCCAGCCACCUGCCCAUGACUAUACCUGUUCCACUCCAGAAACUAUGCUUUUAACAUAACUAUGAAUCCUACCCGUUCAUUUUGUGGUCUGCAAAUUGAACUGUGACGGUAACUUAUCCAGCAUUAUAGUGCUGGUGCAUUGGUUAAAAAUAAAGUUGGCUUUGACUAUUGCUGUUUCACUUAACUAUUUUUGUAUGUAUAUACCUAAUGAGGGAAAACAGACAAAUGUUUUAUAAUAUUUCAGCUUUUAUUGAGGUAUUGCCAAAAAAAUAAUAAUUUAGGUAUUUCACAGGUGGUCUAAGUCCAACAUAGGUGCCUUGUCCCUCAGAAAACACUGCCCUGAUUCAGACUAGGGAAGGUGGGAUGACUAGGACUCUUCGCUCUAGAAGUCCCCAGCACCAGCUGACAAGACUUUUAGGCUAGAUACCUGCAACAACUUGAGAUACACAUAGACAUAGUACUAAAAAAAACAAUAACUACAUUUCUCUUUUAUAUUAGCAUUUGAUAUAUCAUACACCUUACUAAAAGCAAUUAAAAAAUAUUAGGUCAAUAUAUAUUUAGAAACAAAACUAUGUUUGUACACCAGAGUUCCCAGGUACAUUAUGAAUAAUCUGUAAAUAGUAAAAUGUUUUAAAGUUUUUUUUUGAAUUUCUGAGUUACUGAUUUAUUCCAUGCAUGUGUAAUUGUCUGAUAUACUGUAUAUUAAAUGUGUUCUGUAAUGAAUACACAUUCAAUCAUACUGGCUCCAGUCCUGGAUCAUCAACCAUACAUGACAAUAGGUUUGGCAACUAGUUCAGGCGUUUUGAGGUAAGAUUUAUCGAAAUUUUAAUUUAUUAAUAAAAGUAAUAAACACAUGCAAUAUCUUGAAAGCAAUAGUUGCUGUUACACCAUGCCUCUGUAGGCGUUCACUGUUCCUACAUUGGGACUUAAUUACAGACAUAUACGGCAAAAUAUAAGCUGCAGCUGCUACAGCAGCAGAACGAGAAAAAAAAACAUUUAAAAAUGAGUUUAUUAGUUUAUUAAGCUAUGCUCCCAAACAAGCUGCAGUCGUGUUAUGAAUAUUCUGUUGUAUUAAUUCAGGCUGCUAAUUUGCAACCAUUAGUAUUAGCGUUAGCAGCUAAUCAAGUUGCGUAUUAUAUAAAUCAAAUUAAAUUAAACAUGAAUUUGCCAGUUAGACGUACCUUGCGCCAGUCAACGUGUAACCACUUCAACAGCCUCCCAUUCGACUUCAGAGUCAGAUUUUGGAUCAAACGUAUGGUUGAACUCCACUACAAGGACGAGUUAGCCAGUGUCACUUUUACAAUGGAUUCAGUGACCGUGACUUUUGAUUCCCGCGGCGGAUCACCGCUAUCCGCUUCCUCAAAGGGGUGUGGCGAUCAGUUUAGCUUCCGACACACUUAAAAGAGCUUAAAACACACAUUUUCAGACGGGCCGUGUGGGCGAUCUACAGUGCUUUUUGGCAUGAAAAGUUACAGACACCUUACUGAGACAUCAAGGUCCAAUUCUUUAGCAAUGUGGAGCAUGAAAAAAGCGUGUGCAUGGAUCUUUAACUCCAUAUGAGUUAUGGGGAAGAAGCUGUCUACGUAAGACAGAGGAUUUAAUAAAUUUAAAGUUGAUGGAUCUAGACAGUGCUUUCUGUCAUUUGGAAGAAGUUGCUGCUGAAUGUCUUCUCUAAUGGUGAUAAUUUUAUUAGUAAAGUAGUUCAUAAGGUCAUUGCUGCUGAGAUUUAAGGAGAUAGAAGGCUCAACACAGCUAUGACUCUCAGUCAGCCUGGCUACAGUGCUGAAAAGAAACCUGGGGUUGUUUUAUUUUACUCAAUCAAGGUGGAAUAAUAUGUUUUUCUAGCAGCACGAAGCACUUUAUUAUAUAUUAUUAAACUGUCCUUCCAUGCAA